UGCAAGUCGAGGGGCAGCGGGAAUUGAGCUUGCUCAAUUUGCCGGCGACCGGCGCACGGGUGCGUAACGCGUAUGUAACCUACCUUGAACUGGGGAAUAACACUGAGAAAUCGGUACUAAUACCCCAUAAUACACUGGAAGGCAUCUUUUGGUGUUGAAAGCUCCGGCGGUUCAAGAUGGACAUGCGUUGUAUUAGUUAGUUGGUGAGGUAACGGCUCACCAAGGCGACGAUACAUAGGGGGACUGAGAGGUUAACCCCCCACAUUGGUACUGAGACACGGACCAAACUCCUACGGGAGGCAGCAGUGAGGAAUAUUGGUCAAUGGACGCAAGUCUGAACCAGCCAUGCCGCGUGCAGGAAGACGGCUCUAUGAGUUGUAAACUGCUUUUGUACGAGGGUAAACUCGGAUACGUGUAUCCGACUGAAAGUAUCGUACGAAUAAGGAUCGGCUAACUCCGUGCCAGCAGCCGCGGUAAUACGGAGGAUCCAAGCGUUAUCCGGAUUUAUUGGGUUUAAAGGGUGCGUAGGCGGUUUGAUAAGUUAGAGGUGAAAGCUCGGGGCUUAACUCCGAGACUGCCUCUAAUACUGUUGAGCUAGAGAGUAGUUGCGGUAGGCGGAAUGUAUGGUGUAGCGGUGAAAUGCG
rnacentral:rRNA from 1 species